GGCAGGAAUUCGGGAGACACCGGCGCUGCGCCGGGGCCGAAGGAGAAGCCGCCCCGGCAAGCUCUCAGGCAAAAGGACCGUCUUCCCCAA
rnacentral:ncRNA from 2 species